rnacentral:rRNA from 1 species
AUUGAACGCUGGCGGCAGGCUUAACACAUGCAAGUCGAGCGGGGUGAUGGUGCUUGCACUAUCACUUAGCGGCGGACGGGUGAGUAAUGCUUAGGAAUCUGCCUAUUAGUGGGGGACAACAUCUCGAAAGGGAUGCUAAUACCGCAUACGUCCUACGGGAGAAAGCAGGGGAGCACUUGUGACCUUGCGCUAAUAGAUGAGACUAAGUCGGAUUAGCUAGUUGGUGGGGUAAAGGCCUACCAAGGCGACGAUCUGUAGCGGGUCUGAGAGGAUGAUCCGCCACACUGGGACGGAGACACGGCCCAGACUCCUACGGGAGGCAGCAGUGGGGAAUAUUGGACAAUGGGGGGAACCCUGAUCCAGCCAUGCCGCGUGUGUGAAGAAGGCCUUAUGGUUGUAAAGCACUUUAAGCGAGGAGGAGGCUCUUUUGGUUAAUACCCAAGAUGAGUGGACGUUACUCGCAGAAUAAGCACCGGCUAACUACGUGCCAGCCGCCGCCGUAA